GGCUGCGACCGAAAACGGAGCGCGUCUGGAGGAAAACGGAGGGUCUACGGAUUCGCGGUGAACGCGGCGUACGCGGCUACUGGCGGCUACUUCGCUUCUUGCAAGAUCGAGAUGUGACUUGACGGAGAGACGAAAUUAUUGCAAUUACGCGGAGGAUGGAGGGUCUACGGAUUCGCGGCGAACGCGGCUACUAGCGGCUACUGGCGGCUACUGGCGGCUACUUCGCUUCUUGCAAGAUCGAGAUGUGACUUGACGGAGAAACGAAAUUAUUGCAAUUACGCGGAGGAUGGAGGGUCUACGGAUUCGCGGCUACUGGCGGCUACU